UUCCUACGGGAGGCAGCAGUGGGGAAUAUUGGGCAAUGGGCGCAAGCCUGACCCAGCAACGCCGCGUGAAGGAAGAAGGCUUUCGGGUUGUAAACUUCUUUUAAGAGGGAAGAGCAGAAGACGGUACCUCUUGAAUAAGCCACGGCUAACUACGUGCCAGCAGCCGCGGUAAUACGUAGGUGGCAAGCGUUGUCCGGAUUUACUGGGUGUAAAGGGCGUGCAGCCGGGAGUGCAAGUCAGAUGUGAAAGCCCGGGGCUCAACCCUGGGACUGCUCUGGAAACUGUAAAGCUGGAGUGCGGGAGGG
rnacentral:rRNA from 1 species